UCCUUCACCAUUUAAACUCUGAUGCGACAAUUAAUCUCUUCCACUCUGCUGAUUUCUAUUCCUUUCAAAGAAACACCGAAAAGUUACCGAAUUUGACAUGAAAAACCACUUCAAAUUUCUUUAAGAAUCACCACCUCCGGGGAAGCUCCAUCACCGACUACACGCAAAUUCCCAAUGUAGUCUUUCGUUGCUCCUAAGUCAUGAGAAAAAGAUAGUGACGAAGAUAUUACGCCUCGAUUAAUUGGAGAAUCAGAAAGAAAUAAGAUUUACAAAAUGAUUAAUC
rnacentral:lncRNA from 1 species